GCUUAUGGUUGCAGGACUGAGAUCAAUAAGUGUAAGACUCGACGAUCAGGGUAAUGGAACUUUUGCAAAUUAACAAUUUUAUUAAACAGACAAAUCCAUAAUCAUAUAUAACAUUAUUAUACUUCAACUAAACAUGAGGUCAUUCCACCCAUAAACUAAUUAGGUACUUCUAAUUAAAUCCAGCAAAUUGUGAAGUAAGUGGGG
rnacentral:lncRNA from 1 species